rnacentral:misc_RNA from 1 species
GGAAGGAUCAUUAACAGUAAUUCUAAAACACUUUCUCUCUCUCUCUCGGGAGGAGGAGGAAGAAAUCUUUGUAUAUUCCUCUUGGGAGGUGCAAACCUUUUGAGGGGGAUAUAUGAGGAACACCCUUUGUGUGAACCUGUUGAAGUAUUUAACAUCUCUAUACGCUUCUCUCUUUCGAGAGAGUACGUGUAAAUUUGUUAAUUUUCUUAAACACCCUUUAAAUACAUUAUCACUUAUAAAGUCUAAAAAAUAGCGAUAAAUGAUGAAAAGAAGAAAAAAAAAAGAGUCCGCUCUAUUUUUUUCUCUCUUUCUUCAUUUUGAACCAUAUAUAAGAUAACCCCCUUAAAGACAACUUUUAACAACGGAUAUCUUGGUUCUCGCAACGAUGACGAGCGCAGCGAAAUGCGAUACGUAAUGUGAAUUGCAGGAUUCAGUGAAUCAUCGAACUCUUGAACGCAUAUUGCGCUGGCAAUCUUUUUUGCCAGCACGCCUGUUUUAGUAUCGGUUUUCAUUAUCAACAAAAACACUCUUUUUGUUGGACUAUGGAUGUUUGAAGGAUUCAGUUUCUUCAAUCGUCUUAAAUUGAAGGAGGAUGCAUUCUCAGUGCACAUACAUUGAGAGCUUACAUUUCUUCUCUCCAUACCAAUGAUGGUUAUUAGGGAGUUUUUCUCUUGGGGCGUUAAAAAACCUCGAGAGAAUUAACAAACACUACCAUUAUAUGUGGAGAGGUAAAAAGGAACUUGUAGGAAGUCACCCUUUUCUCAAAAAAACAACCAAAAAAACCUAAUCUCGAUCUCAAAUCAGGCGAGACAACCCGCUGAAUUUAAGCAUAUCAAUAAGCGGAGGAAAAGAAACUAACUAGGAUUCCCUCAGUAACGGCGAGUGAAGCGGGAAGAGCUCAAAUUGAAAAUCUUCAGGGAUUCACUUCCUUGACGAAUUGUAGUUUUGUGACUGGUAUUUACGCGGUGGGUGACACAGAUGUAAGUCUCCUGGAAUGGAGUGCCCUGGAGGGUGAGAGCCCCGUGUCGUCUGUGCAACGUUCGCCUGCCAACACGUACUGCUAGUUCGCAGAGUCGAGUUGUUUGAGAGUACAGCUCAAAAUGGGUGGUAAAUUUCAUCUAAAGCUAAAUAAUGGCGAGAGACCGAUAGCGAACAAGUACCGUGAGGGAAAGAUGAAAAGAACUUUGAAAAGAGAGUUAAAAGUACUUGAAAUUGUUAAAAGGGAAGCGAUUGGAACCAGUGGAUGCGCGCUGUUCAAUCAGCUGCGAGUUCCUACGUGCCGGCGGUGGCCAGUGAGGGAUCCAUGGUGGUCUCCACGUUGGUUGUCGUCUUUGGCGUGUGAACGAGCGGUGCACUUGGGCGGUGUUUGCGAGUCAGCGUGAGCCUGCGCGUGCAGUAGAAGAGCGGUGGGAAGGUAGCGUGUCGGCUGGCUCAUGCCAGUUUGGUGCGUGUUAUAGCCCGCUGUGGAUGCUGUCGCGUGGACUGAGGCGCCCUCUGGGCGUGGAUGAGCGUUCCCUCGCGGGACUGGAGACGUGCUGGUGGGAGGUUGGCGGUCAUGGGUACAGCCUAGCUCGUGCCUGUGGCUUGUCUGGCUUCCGAUUCGGUGCUAUUCACAGCUCUCAUCAAGGACGCUGACGAAAUGGUUUCAAUCGGCCCGUCUUGAAACACGGACCAAGGAGUCUAACAUGUGUGCGAGUACUUGGGUGGAAAACCCGGGAUGCGUAAUGAAAGUAAACCUCUUUUUGAUGGGAAGUGGGUGCCCUCGCGGCCUGCCCACAGCACCAUUGACCGACCUUGAUAUCUUUGGAUAGGUUUGAGUGAGAGCAUACCUGUUGGGACCCGAAAGAUAGCGAACUAUGCCUGCAUAGGGUGAAGCCAGACGAAAGUCUGGUGGAGGCUCGUAGCGAUACUGACGUGCAAAUCGUUCGUCAAAUGUGGGUAUAGCGGCGAAAGACUAAUCGAGCUGUCUAGUAGCUGGUUUCCUC